rnacentral:rRNA from 1 species
CAAUAGUGUAUAUUAAAGUUGUUGCAGUUAAAAAGCUCGUAGUUGAAUUUCUGGCGGGCGCGCCGGUCUUCCAAGUGUUGUACUGGGCGCAGUCCGCCAUCCUUGUGGAGAGGGCUCGCAUUGAGUUGCGUGUCGGAUCUGCAUCAUUUACUGUGAAAAAAUUAGAGUGUUUAAAGCAGGCUGUCGCUUGAAUACAUUAGCAUGGAAUAAUAAGAUAGGACUUCGGUCUAUUUUGUUGGUUGCGAACCGAGGUAAUGAUUAAUAGGGAUAGUUGGGGGUAUUCAUAUUUAAUUGUCAGAGGUGAAAUUCUUGGAUUUAUGAAAGAUGAACAACUGCGAANGNAUUUACNAAGGAUGUUUNCAUUA